AGCGAACGCUGGCGGCAGGCUUAACACAUGCAAGUCGAGCGCCCCGCAAGGGGAGUGGCAGACGGGUGAGUAACACGUGGGAACGUACCCUUUGGUUCGGAAUAACUUGGGGAAACUCAAGCUAAUACCGGAUAAGCCCUUAUGGGGAAAGGUUUACUGCCGAAGGGUCGGCCCGCGUCUGAUUAGCUAGUUGGUGAGGUAAUGGCUCACCAAGGCGACGAUCAGUAGCUGGUCUGAGAGGAUGAUCAGCCACACUGGGACUGAGACACGGCCCAGACUCCUACGGGAGGCAGCAGUGGGGAAUAUUGGACAAUGGGGGCAACCUUGAUCCAGCCAUGCCGCGUGAGUGAUGAAGGCCUUAGGGUUGUAAAGCUCUUUUACCCGGGACGAUAAUGACUGUACCGGGAGAUUAAGCCCCGGCUAACUUCGUGCCAGCCGCCGCAGUAA
rnacentral:rRNA from 1 species